AGCCCCCACCUCCCUCCAGGAGGUCCAUGGGGCCAGGGUCAGCUCUGUCCUGAGUGUGGAGGGGGUGUCCUGGCAUCCCACCCCCCGGCAGAGGCUCUUGUGGGAAGUGACGAGGGCGGGGCCUGGAGGUCAGAUGGCAGACUCCCUGCGGUAGGAGAUGUUGUCCAGAGGGAGGGUGGCUUGCAUGCGCUCCAGAUCCAGGUGGCUGCCAAACUCCAGCAUUCGGAUGAUGCCCGCCUCCUCCUUGGAGCCCGCCUCCAGGCCCAGGCCUGCGGCCACGGCAGCAGCGGCUGCCGCCUCCUCCUCCAUCUCCUCUUCCUCCUGGCUCAUGAGGGCCAGCUCAUUCUCGUAGCAGAAGGCACUGGGCGGGGGCGGCGGGGCAGGCAGCACGGUGAUCUUGCUCUCCUGAAGCUCCCGGGCGGAGCAGCAGGGCGUGCCGGCCACCUCGUAGGUCUUGUGGAAGCGCGAGUAGUCCACCUUGUAGUGGCUCUUCUCCUCGAAGACCACGGGCUCGAAGCGGUGGCCCCACAGGAUCUCGCUGGCCAGGUAGGAGCUGCGGGCCUGGGUGGUCAUGGCGGUGGCCUCCACCAUGCCCUCGAGGAUGACCACGAUCUCAAAGUCCUCCGACUCCAGCUCCUCCUUGCCCAUGCCAUAGAGCGGGCUGUCCUCGUCGAUCUCGUGGACGAUGAUGAUGGGCGACACCAGGAAGAUGCGGUCCAGGCCGAUGUCGUAGCCCACGUUGAGGUCCCGCUGGUCCAGCGGCAGGUACUCGCCCUCCUGGGUCAUGUAGGGCUUGAUGAGCUGGGCCCGCACGUGGGCCUCCACGAUGUGGCUCUUGCGCAGGUUGCCCACGCGCCACAUCAGGCAGAGCUUGCCGUCGCGCACCGAGAUGACCGCGUGGUGGCUGAACAGCAGCGUCUGCGCCCGCUUCUUGGGCCGGGCCAUCUUGGCCAUUAUGGUGCCGAUCAUGAAGGAGUCGAUGACGCAGCCCACGAUGGACUGGACCACCACGGCGAUGACCGCCAGCGGGCACUCCUCCGUCACGCACCGGAACCCGUAGCCGAUGGUCGUCUGCGUCUCCACCGAGAACAGGAAGGCGCCCAGGAAGCCGUUCACGUGCAUGAUGCAGGGCUUGGGGGCCGUCGGGGCCGCCGCGCCACUGCCCGUCGGGGCCCCCGCCGCCGCCGCUGCCGCCGCCGCCGCCGGGCCAGCCUCCAGGUCGCCGUGGAAGAAGGCGAUACACCAGAAGAGGAGGCCAAAGAAGAGCCAGGAGACGAGGAAGGCCGCGGAGAAGAUCAUGAGCAUGUAGCGCCAGCGCGUGUCCACGCAGGUGGUGAAGAUGUCCGCCAUGUAGCGCUGCGACUUGUUGCUCAGGUUGGCGAAGUAGACGUUGCAUUGGCCGUUCUUCUUGACGAAGCGGUUGCGGCGUUUCCGCCGGGGCACGUGGGCCUGCCCGUUGCGGCUGUGUCCGUGCAUGUCCUGAGGCCGGCGUGGUCACCUGGGAAGACGCAGGGCCUGGGGAGGAGAAGCCCGACAGGUGAGAUGCCGGCUCAGAAAGGGAAGGGCCGGGCCUAA
rnacentral:lncRNA from 1 species